CGAGACCACUCUGGAAAGCAGGGACGAGCCGUCCCUCGCCGAAGGUGCAAGCCACGCCGAGCGCAUGGCGAAGCUCUCAGGCACCGAUGACAGAGGGGGAGGA
rnacentral:ncRNA from 2 species